AAUCUGGGACAACUGGAAUAACGAAUUAGAUUUAAAAAAUUAAAUUAUAAACCAUUUGAAGGGGGAAAGAUUCCAUGAAUCAAUGCCAGUAACAGAUAAAUAAAAACAUGGGCAGAAGAGAAGAAUCUUGCUUACAACAGAAUUCCAACUAUCAAAUGGUGAAUGUGGACAAAGUGCUAGAGUUGCAAAAUCAUCUUAGUAAAAAUUGGUUCAGGGAAGAAUCAUCAAUGCAUGCUAAAUAUAGAGAAGAAAUUUUAAAGAAGAGAAACAAAUUACUUGAAUGAUCUUAAGAUCUGUUCCCACAGGCUACUUAUUAGACACAAAAAGAAAACAUAGUAACUAUCCAGUAGAGAAAAACUGAUAGUACCUUGACCAGGUAAUCAAAAUUAACAUCACAAAUGAUGACAGAUGGACACUGUGUGCCUCUUAAUGUGAGGACACAUCACUUAUGUAUGUAUCCCAACUGGGAAUUCACAACCUGGAUAUAAUCAUGAGAAAACAUCAAACACCAAAUGAGAAACAUUCUGUUUUUUCAAAAAGGGAAGUCGGGGGGACUUUAUUCUUCAAAAUUGUCAAUGUCCUAAGACAAAGAAAGGCUGACGAAGUAUUCCAGAUUGAAGGAGACUAAAAAUAUAUGACAAUAAAAUUCAAUAAAUAAUCCUGGAGGCCAAGGCGGGCAGAUCACUUGAGGUCAGGAGUUCAAGACCAGCCUAGCCAACAUGGUGAAACCCCGUCUCUACUAAAAAUACAAAAAUUAGCCAGGCAUGAUGGCACACACCUGUAAUUCCAGUUACUUGGGAAACUGAGGCAGGAGAAUCACUUAAACCCAGAAGGCAGAGUUGCAGUGAGCCAAGAUCACGCCACUGCACUCCAGCCUGGGUGACAGAGCA
rnacentral:lncRNA from 1 species